AGAGUAAAAUAAGCUGAGAUAAGUGAUGUGCUGUGCUGUGCAGUGUGGGUGAUGCUGACUCACCCAGCUGUGUGUUGUCUCUGCGGGGAAGCUCUUUAACCAGAGCCACUGCGUGUUCCGAUACCUCCACUGCCUCUCUCUGAGCCAGCUGUCUUAAACAGGCCACAACCGCUCGCCGCAGAGACAGAUCCGGCCCCACAGAGGUGAUGAGGGCGUUAAGACAGCGGCCCAGGCUUUGCUGCACCUCCAUGUGUGUGUGUGGGGUAGAGAGGAGCAAACGCAGCACCAGAGUGAAGCUGGCCUCCAGGUGACUGUGGUACAAAGGACCUGCUAGGUCCACCACAGUGGACAGAGCAUGAAGAGCCCACAUCUGCACACAAAGUUCACUGAAAGAUUAAUGCAUUAAAAAAAAAAAAAAAAACUGCAAUCUGCGUCAAAACAUUCUCUGUUCAUUCUAGAUUCAAGCAUAAGUUGCUCGUUCACACUGAAAUGUCAGAAAAUAAUAAAACUUAGUUAAUAUAC
rnacentral:lncRNA from 1 species